UAAGAAUUUUGAAAAAAAAAU
rnacentral:piRNA from 1 species